AAGGCUCUGAAAAGGAAACCAUAAAACAGGGGCGUGAGAACUAUUAAAAAUAGUUCCCAGUGGGCAAUUACUGACUUCAGUGAUUGCACCACAAGGCCCAACGCUACAAAAGAUGUCAGUGACUAUAAAUGUAGAAAAGCGAAAGGUAAGUAAAAUGUAACUUACUACAACAUGAUAUCUCUACUUAGCAUAAAUAGCAUAAGUAUGAAGCAACUAUGCAUGAAGUAAAAGUCUCCAACUAUCAUAAUGUUCACAAUGCGAAAUAGUAAAGUUCCGUUGUUUACUAUUCUAGUCAAUGUCCAAGUAAUACUCUAAGUCAUCAUCUGUCCACAUGUCAUAAUGAA
rnacentral:lncRNA from 1 species